GUUUGACAUGCCCCUGCACCAGCCAGAGAUGGCUGUCCCUUCGGGGCGGAGGCACAGGUGCUGCAUGGCUGUCGUCAGCUCGUGCCGUGAGGUGUUGGGUUAAGUCCCGCAACGAGCGCAACCCUUGUCUUCUGUUGCCAUCAGGUCAAGCUGGGCACUCUGAAGAGACUGCCGGUGACAAACCGGAGGAAGGUGGGGAUGACGUCAAGUCAGCAUGGCCUUUAUGUCUGGGGCCACACACGUGCUACAAUGGCAGGUACAAACCGUCGCGAGACCGCAAGGUGGAGCUAAUCGGAGAAAGCCUGUCUCAGUUCGGAUUGUCGGCUGCAACUCGCCGGCAUGAAGUUGGAAUCGCUAGUAAUCGCGGAUCAGCACGCCGCGGUGAAUACGUUCCCGGGUCUUGUACACACCG
rnacentral:rRNA from 1 species